CUCGUAGUUGAUCUCUGGUCUAGGACAACUGUUCGCCUAAUGGUGUUACGGUCGUACCUGACUAAGCUCGUCCGUACCAAGGCGUGUGUGCUUUACUGUAUGCGCGUCUUCGGUCGGAAUGUUUACUUUGAAAAAAUUAGAGUGCUUAAAGCAGGCAGUUUCUCGCCUGAAUAGUAGUGCAUGGAAUAAUGGAAUAGGACCUCUGUUCUAUUUUGUUGGUUUUCGGAAUACGAGGUAAUGAUUAAGAGAGACAGACGGGGGCAUUCGUAUUACAGUGUUAGAGGUGAAAUUCUUGGAUCACUGUAGGACGAACUACUGCGAAAGCAUUUGCCAAGAAUGUCCUCAUUAAUCAAGAACGAAAGUCAGAGGUUCGAAGACGAUCAGAUACCGUCGUAGUUCUGACCAUAAACGAUGUCGUCUGACGAUCCGUGGGAGUUGUUCGUAUGACCCCGCGGGCAGUCUCCGGGAAACCAAAGAUUUUGGAUUCCGGGGGAAGUAUGGUUGCAAAGCCGAAACUUAAAGGAAUUGACGGAAGGGCACCACCAGGAGUGGAGCCUGCGGCUUAAUUUGACUCAACACGGGAAAACUCACCCGGCCCGGACACUGUAAGGAUUGACAGAUUGAUAGCUCUUUCU
rnacentral:rRNA from 1 species